ACCGCGUGUGUGAAGAAGGCCUGAGGGUUGUAAAGCACUUUCAAUAGGAAGGAAUACCUAUCGGUUAAUACCCGNGUAGACUGACAUUACCUAUACAAGAAGCACCGGCUAACUCCGUGCCAGCAGCCGCGGUAAUACGGAGGGUGCAAGCGUUAAUCGGAAUUACUGGGCGUAAAGCGUGCGUAGGCGGUUAUUUAAGUCAGAUGUGAAAGCCCUGGGCUUAACCUGGGAACUGCAUUUGAUACUGGAUGACUAGAGUUGAGUAGAGGAGAGUGGAAUUUCAGGUGUAGCGGUGAAAUGCGUAGAGAUCUGAAGGAACACCAGUGGCGAAGGCGGCUCUCUGGACUCAAACUGACGCUGAGGUACGAAAGCGUGGGUAGCAAACAGGAUUAGAUACCCUGGUAGUCCACGCCGUAAACGAUGUCAACUAACCGUUGGGUUCUUUAAGAACUUAGUGGUGGAGCUAACGUAUUAAGUUGACCGCCUGGGGAGUACGGCCGCAAGGCUAAAACUCAAAUGAAUUGACGGGGGCCCGCACAAGCGGUGGAGCAUGUGGUUUAAUUCGAUGCAACGCGAAGAACCUUACCUACCCUUGACAUGUAGCGAAUCUUUAGAGAUGAGGGUGCUUCGGGAACGCU
rnacentral:rRNA from 1 species